GGGGUCUAUGCUAACUCGUGGUAGUUAGUAUCAGAAUUGAACUGAAUUUUAGAAUACCAGUUUUGGCAUCAGAAAACUAUUGCUGGAACAACAACACACAGACAUACAUCAACAAGGACAAAGAAAGCUACUCAGGAGGCUGAGGCAGGAGAAUCUCUGGAACUCAGGAAGGAAAGCCGAGGUCACACCGCUGUACUCCAGCCUGGGAGACAGAGCAAGACUCUGUCUCAAAAAAAAAAAAAAAAAAAAAAA